GUUAAUAUGUUCGCGUAUUAAAUAUUUUUCAGUGAGUUAUUUUAGACCGUCUUGGGGAACUCUAUUAUCUCUUUCAGUCCGAGGGGGACUCGUUCCUUAAUAACAGCCAUGUGAAACUAAAUACACGGUCGUAAAAUUGACUUUUUCUUCCCACACAAAAAAUGACAUCCGUCCUUUUAUAAUAUUAACCAUUUGAAUGCAUUUUUAAUGAUUUUGUCUAAGUGACAUGCUUGAAAGUGGGCUUCUAUGGUAAAAGUUCACCUGUCAAUCAAAGAGCUCCGUUCAAUAUAAGCGCACAGGCACUGUAGUAGACAGCCAGACAAAGAAGUGAUUAAGUAAGGAAACUAACAUGAUGAUAACUUGAUAAUGACCCCCUUUGCCUUGCAAUCUAUUCAUAAAAUUAAGAGCCUUUAUUAACCUUUGGAAUUUAAACAAAAUAGAAUAAUUGUCUUUUCUGUCAUGUUCUUAACAUACUGUUUAGUCAAUAAAGAUGAAUGAAUACUGAAUGCAUAUUAAUUUACAAAGGCAUUUGCAAUAUAUUUGACUUCUUUUUCUCCUUUCUGUUUUUGUAAACAGGACCUACAUACACCCCAAAGGCUCUUUUCAGAGCCAUUUGACCAAGCAUCUUUGUACAUGCCGGUUUUCCUUCAGUAGUGCCAGUUUUCCUAAGAUUUUACCUCGUCCUCCACUGCCUCCAGUAAUUCCUGGUUUUAAGGUGGAGUAAUGGAGUAAAGAUGCAACGGAGCAGCUGAUAAGAAAACAUGCUUAAGACCAUCUUAAACGUGCACCAUCAAGAAAGGGUGGGGUACACAAUAAACAUUUUUUUUAACAUUACUUUUUGAAUAGAUGCACUUUUUAAAUUUUUUUUAAAAGUAUAUAUAUAUUGUUUAUUUAUGUUGUUUUUAAAUGUUAUAAUUGUAUUGUUUUUAUUUGUUGUAUUUAGCUUUUAUGCAUUUGUACACACACAAACACACAACCACAUUUAUACAAAAUAAGUUUUGAAUAAAUACGUUUAAUGGAGUGAAAAGUGUGAGUCUUUAUUUAGCUAAAUGAUGUCUAAAAUGAGUCUGCAGUUGACGUUAUAAGACGUUGAAAAUAUGUCCACAAUGACCACAUUUCAACUAAAUUUGGACCUUAAAAAGACGUCCUAUGGAUGUCAUUAUUGGACGUCCAAAAGACGUCAGAAAAAGACGUCGGAAAACCUUUCAUUCUGCACCCUGAUGGGGACGUCUUUUCAACGUCUUUAUUGGACGUCCAAAAGACGUCAGAAAAAGACGUCGGAAAACCUUUCAUUCUGCACCCUGAUGGGGACGUCUUUUCAACGUCCGACAAAGAUGUUGAAAAGACGUCUUUUGGACAUACUUUUGCUCA